CACCGAUUCAAUGGACAUGAAUUUGAGCAAGCUCUGGGAGAUAGUAAAGGACAGGGAAGCCUGGGUUGCUGCAGUCCAUGGAGUCACAAAGAGUUGGACACAUCUAAGCAAAUGAACAACAACAGACCCAAGCCUUCACAGUCACAACUGACCCUAUUUUACCUGGAAAAUAAACAUCCAGAGGGAGAACAAAAAAACAACCCAGGGUGUAUGGUCAGGCCAUUCAAGGUGGUGGUUCUCCUGUUCUCUGUACCUCCCCUGCUCAACCCGCCCCUGCUUCACCUGCACCUUCUCCGGUCCCCCAGCCUGUGCCUGCCCCCUGCCCCGGCUAGUGCUGGUUCUAAUCCUUAGCCCCGAAAGGCUCCACCUACUAGUUUACUAAUAGGAAACACCUGCCCUCGAGACGGUCAUUAACCUGAGGGACUGUGAGCAGCACGUGUCCAAGCGACUGGUUGCCCUGGUAACCUAGCUGACGUCAGUUCCCCCCUAUAAGCGGUAGCAUUCCCUUGCCCCGCCCCCAGUGGUGAAGAUGGUCGCCCCGUAGCAAUCACCGCCUGCUGCAGAUAGUGGUGUGUUGCUCCAAGACCUGGCUUCGGACAUGUAAGGUCUUCUGUCCAACAGACCGUGGAUGUCCCUGUCCCUGUCUCUGGGCUCUUUCUUUGGUCUCGAAGCUAGACAACUACAAGGCUCGCGGGCCUGCAGCUUGCAGCCCAAUGUGGGGUUAUGGAAAGAGACGUGGACUUAGAAACCUGAAUUACAAGCCCCACUCCCGUCAAAGUCUCCCUGCUCAGCCAGUUGGUUCAUCUGUAAAGUGAGGAUCCCAGUAAAGGAAGAGGCAUCCUACUUUUUAAAAAGUCUUUCUUUAUUUGACUGCGCUUUGUCUUAGUUGCAGCCUCUCAGUGGUAACCUCUGACCAGCCCCAUUUUUACACAGAAGAGGAAAAAUAGAGGCUCAGAAAGACAAAGUGACCUGUCCGGAGUCUCGCAGCAAGUUCGGAUUCAGCCCAACGCCUGAGCCCUUGAUGCCUGGCUUUCUCUGCCACAGUGGGAGCCCUAGGAACUCUUUGGCUGCCUUUUCACUUUAAGGGGGCUUAGUUGGAGUACCUGGGGAGCCCCAGCUGCACGGCCCACUCGGGGCCUCUGGGGGCUGGUCCACGGGCCAUUGUGAUGUACGCCCUGGCUCUGUGUCCCUCCCGCAGGGGCAACUCGAGAACCAGGCAGAAGGGCAGCUGCUGCCUGGGAUCGGAUGCUUUGGAGUCAGCUCCUACGGAUGCCGAAUUGGAGGCCCUCCCACGCCCUGCCGCGGCUGUUUACUAACUGCAACGGCACAUUGGAUCGUGGCAGUCAACCCAGACGAGGAAUUUAUCCAGAGGUGGCCACUGGGAGCACUCCUGAGUUAACUGGGAGCACGCAGGAGGCAUGCUUCGUUCCACUCUGUUCUUCCUCUUGGCGGAUCUAAUUAGACAACCUGUGAGCGGGCUGAUCGGACUGACCUGGCAGACGGAGGCCACAGCCGGAUGCCUGGGGACCCAGAGUGGUCUCUGCUGAGAUAAUGGUGUUUCGUAAAAGAGAUCGGGGUGGGGGCCGGAGGAGCGUGGCUGAGGCUAGUUGGACACACAUAACCUAGAGACAUCAGACACAAUCAUGAAGUCAGGUCCCUAGACACCAAGACCUACCCAGCAUUUCCAGAUGCUGGGCUGCAUGCUGGGGACACAGCUGUGAGUGAGGCUGACUGUCCCUGCCCUCCUGGAGAUUACAGUCUAGCAGAGUGACAGUUACAAGCCAAAUGAUCACACGGGAAAAGACACAAGAGUCACAGCCAAGCAGCAAGGGAGAGAUCUGAGGACCGUGAGAAGGAGUGAUAAGGGAUCUUCCUGACCCAGGGAUGGAACCCACGUCUCGCGUACUGCAGACAGAUUCUUGACCAUCUGAGCCACCAGGGAAGCCCUCAUGGUCAUGUGUUCACCCGUAAUCUGAAAACCCAAGAGACUUUGAAAACCGAACAGCUCUCCUGAAGCUUGGAGCCUACACUCAGUCAGCAGCAAAACCAGCUCUGGACCAGUGUGAGGCUGUUGAUAAUCUAUGUUUAUCCUACUCAGUGGGAAUAUUUGUGUGUUUCACUGAAGAAUGGGUUAAGGUAUUGGAUUAUAGGGUUCUACCCCAAGUUCCCCUAGUCAUGUCACAGAGUGUGUGAUACGUGUACCCAAAACCUGUCUGAGAUUUUAAAAACCUGAGUCCCAAGAUAAUAGGAAACAAACUUAUGGUUACCAAAGAGAAAGGGGGUGGGAGGGAUCAAUUCAGAGUUUGAGAUUAACGCAUACACACAUGUAUAAAAUUGAUAACCAACAGGGACCUACUGCAUAAGACUACUCAGUCUACUCUGGAUUUUGUAAUAAACCUAUAAGGGAAAAGAA